rfam:Glycine soja cultivar W05 scaffold4710_63, whole genome shotgun sequence.
AAACUCAAGUUGGAGCUCUCUGCACUCCAGUGUUGAAGGAGGUGAUGGUAAACCCUAGCUGCUAAUUCAUGGUUACCUUUGGCUUCCCAUAAGGAAGCAUGUGAAAGUCAUGGGUUUACAUGAAUAUGGAGACGGGGUUGCCUUGAUCUUUUGGUAUUGGAGUGAAGGGAGCUCCGAAUUAGGCCUUC